UUUUUUUUUUUUUUGGAAAAUGGAUCUUUAGGCCAGGUAGAACAAUCAGGAAUUGUUCAAACCAGCAAAAAAUGGUUUAUUUACUUCAAUUUAAAUCUCAUGUAUUCUUGUUUUUCUAUGAGUAGAGAGGAGAUUUAAAACCUUGUGUUUUUAGUUGCUAUCAAGGUAGGUCUCUGUGUACAUUUGUAAUAUUUGUAACUCUUAGGUAUUAUUUUCUGAAAGUAUUGUAUAUUUACAACCUAUUUUGUUAUCAGACCGCAGUACAAUUACUGUAGUGAGAGAUGCAGCAGAGAAUGAGGUGCUGUUUCUUACUGGGAUGGUAUUCCUUUUAGAAGAUGACCUGUCUAGCUUUUACACUGUGUAGUAAUACAUGGUUUGAAUGUGAUCCCGUUCAAGUGUGGCUUAGUUUGUUAGAUUUUAUUCUGUGCAUGGCACUAUUCUUGCAAAAAUAAUACAGUCAAGAAUAAGAAAACAGUUUACUUGUCUCCAUGAAGUAAUAGCAAUUAUAUAAAUAUAGUAAAAUAUAUUGAAAAUUAUAAACAUAUGUAAUAAAAUGCUAGACUUCUCCUAUUGUGAAGACUUAUGUGAAUUGUAAAUUUAAAGAAAUUAUAGGAGUGCUGGGAAGCAAAUGACACUUUCCAAUAGCCAUUAGUUAUCAAUUUAGUUAUUUUGUAAUACUUACAUUAUUUUACAAAUAAAUUCCAGAAUUUAUUGGUAUAAAUAAGGCAUACAAACAAAUAACCAGAAUAUGAAGUUGUCAUACAUAACAUAUUUGAUAAUGGAUAAUUUUUGCUUGCUUCUAGCAACCUGAAAUUUCACAUUUGGAUGGUGAUUAAAAUGGCCUUCUACCUCUUCCCAUGACAUUGUAAUUCUGCACUAUAAAUGGCAAAACAUUUUCAUGUUUAAAAGACUGUGACCCAUUCCCUCCUACUUCUGAUUUGUCUAUCUUCUGCAUAGCCCAUUGUUCUUUUUUUCCUUCCCAUAUUCUGAAACCUUUAUAUGUAUAUAUGCAGAGCUGCAUUAAGAUCCUCUCACAGCCUGAAUUAUUGUUUACUCACAACCAGUACAUUUUUACUGAUUUUAUUUUGCUUUUUAUUUAGGCAAACAAAAAUGCAGUUGGUUAGUGGUGCUUGUAGGAGGUUGCUCUUAUUUUUUGGGAUGGUAUGUAACAGUAAACUGCUGCUAUUUAUCUGUACAUAAAGAAACACAUAUUCCAUCAUUAGAAAUUGAUCUCAUUCCAUACCUAUUUUUUCCCAUUUUUAAUUUUCAUUGCAAUGUGACAUAUUAAACCAAGAAAUUACUAUUUUUAAGGGUGCAGCCUUUAGUGAUAUGACAAAACAAAAACCUCAUUGUAAUUUGCAUAAUACCUAAUCCAGUUAAAAGGGGCCAUGUACUCACUUAGUAUAUAUAAGUUUAUAGUGGUGUGUUUCCUGGCUUCCAUAUUAAUAAUCUGGUACAUGUGAUAAAAUACAGAUAUUUCAUGCUAGAAACCUAGACUUCAGUUGUUGGGUUUUUUCCUUUCUCCUUUUCUGUCUUGCCCUGGUUUUUUAAAAGCCUGAGUAUCAGACAUAAUUAUGUUGCAUUAUUUUAGAUCUGCAUAUGACUUUUUAGGGAUUCCUGAUAUCAGUUGAAUAAUUUGCUCAGCAGAAUAUACCAUCCAAGUAAAUAGAUUUUUUUAAUAGUGUUUUGGAUGCUGGAGUGUUUGCUCACAAAAAUUUGUGGGAUAUGUCUAUAAUUUAUUCUUGCAUAAAAAAGGGAAGUGAAACCUUGAACAUGAUAGAAAAUAAAAAUGUAUUCCACAUUCGCAAUGGUUUUAAUUUUAACCUAGAUGGACUAGUCUCUCAACUUGCAAAGGAAGUCUGACCCUGAGUUGUUUUCUCCAUGGAAGGUUCUGAUGUACUGCCCUUUAAAUUAUGUUAGGCUUGGAACCAGCAAAUAGUUUCCCAAAAGUCACAUUGUUCCACACAGUAUGACAACAUACUCACUAAACCCACACUGGAACCCACUAAAUUCAUGUGGGUGGAAGAGCCAAAGAGAAUUUGUUUCAUUGUUUGUAAUACAAUUUGAGGUCUAAUACCUCAAUUCUAAAUUAGUAUAUUUCUAGAGGAAAAGAGUAAAUGGAAGAGUAACAUAGUAAAAGCUGAUGUAAGCUAUUGGAUGCAGAAAUUUUGUCUGUCCUCCUAGUCGCGUUGUCUUCCUGCAACUGUCUGGAGCAGGCCACAUAUUGGGGAUGCAUUUGGUGCUCUCCUACCUUCACUCCCAUGGCAAAGGCAAGGUUGUUUGUUUAAUACCAAGCUCCUCAGACCCAGCUCAAUCCCCCAGAAUGGCAGGACUAGUAAUCAUCUGGCCUGUAUGUUUAUAUGAGAUUAUUUAAUUCAGGCCACUGAAGAUCAGAAGAAGCUCUACCAUGGCGCUGCACUAAGGUAAAUAUGUUGAGGAUGCUGAGGACUCAGUGUAAGAAUCUUAUAUUUAUGAACAGCCAGAGAAGAUGUGAGUAAAAAUCCAAAUCUCAGCUACAACCUUGCUCAUGGUGAAAAUUAUGAAACUAUUCAAAUAACCCCUACUGCCUGGACAAGCUACAUGGAUCACACCUGUCAUGCUGCAUGACAAACUACCCUUACAAAAUUAGUUUGAAAACAGAUGACGUGGAGGUCCUUGUAGUUUGGUACGAAAAAAUAACCCUGGAUAAAAUCAAAGAAUAUAUAAAAAACUUAAAAAACCCCACAAUUACAAAAAAAAAAAAAAGGUAAAUUAGGAUAAAAGAUUCCCAGAUACAUUUGUCUUGAGUAGCUGGUGAAAGACUUGGAAAGAUGCUUUGAUUUUGCCCUCAAGUAUGAAAGAAAAAAUAUUUUCUCUGUUUAUCUGUAUAUAUUAUGUAUAUCUUUGAAAUACAAAAUGGAAGAGAAGGAGGACCUACAGAUAUGCUUAAGAUAAACAGGAGAGGGACCAUUUUUUCUUGACCCAGGGAUGUUUUCUGUACAGAAAUCAGAGUCAGAAUACUCACUGAUAGUAAAUUUCAAGAAGCAGAGAUAGGUUUUCAUUAUAUGCAUUCUUGUACUAAUCCUACAGAAUUGUGUAGACAAUGAUAGUGACUGCAUCACUUAAAUUUUACCAGUUUUCAGAAAGAUUUAGAUAAUGAAAAAAAAAAUCAUGACAGAUUGUGAAACACAGAAAGGUGCUGGUUAUUUGGUUAGCUUUCUUUUUCCCUUUUAAAAUGAUCCAUGUAUAUUAAAAUGUUAUCAGGGUGUGAAAUGCACUGCAGUCUCUAACCAAAACAACCUUAGCAAAGUGAUGCACUGCUAGAGCUAAAUAUAUUUUUGUCCUGCCUUUCUGGAGCCCAUGUUUUUUGUUAAGGACCUGUAGCAUGCAACAAGAAUUUCCAAUAUAGACAGUUCAGUUGGAAAUCUGGACUCAGCUGACAUCUACCCCUCGAAUGAAAUAAUUGAAAGAAAUGAAUGAGCGAUAGUCUAAGCAAAAAUCAACCAUUCAGGUUGCAUUAGUUUUUAAACAAUUAAUUUUUUUAAAGUGAAUUGUAUGAGCCUACAAUAUCUGAAUAAGAAACUUCAGAAAAUGUCAAUUAAUGUAGUUACUAAAGGAUGUAACUUCAAUAAACACUGUGGCAACUUCAUUACAUUUGGACUUGAAGAUUACUUCUAUGUGGAAGCCUGGAGGAAAAAGGCUCAGAACAUCCCUAGCUUCACAUCACUCUCCCAGAAGUUACAUGGUACAGCAGCUACCACACUGAAGGAAUCCCAGCAGGUCUGUCCAAGAGGAGCUGUACAGCCACCAGCCGUGUUCCCCGGGGUCCCAUCACCAGCUGUAGCAGGAAUCCUGUGUCUUUGGAGCAGCCAUUAGCAUCCAAGUACAGCUCUGAGUGAGACGUAUCUUUCAGUCUGAAAUGUUCCUAACACAGAUGUAUUUUUACUACUCUAAGGAAAGAUGAAUGAUAUGCAAGAUUGAGAGAAAGAAGUUUCACAGGACAGGAAUGUUCAUGUAUGCAUCAGAUGUCUGCUCAAAAGAAAAAACUGGCAAGAAGUCACCAUGUGAGAAAGAGAUAAUCAAUGGAUAGACCAGACUAUAGAUGUGGUCUUUUCAUGGCACUGAUGUAGUCUUAAAUUGAAAAAAAAACCUAAAAUGGCCAAUGUGGAUUAAACGCAAGGAAAUGCAAGUAGGAGAUCAACUUUCUAUUAAUAUUCUUAUUUUUAUGUCUCUCUGACAUUUUUUGAAGUGAAGAAAGACUAUUCCUUUUGAUACAUUAUUUCUCCAACAAAUAGACAAUUGAAAUAGUCAAUAUUUUUUCUGAAAGUGUUAAUUACUGUAUUUUCAUUUCUAAUACAAGAUCAUAUUAUUAUUAUAUAGUUUCUAAUACAAGAUUGCAAUUCUUGGAUGUGUUUUGAUUAAAAUGAAAAUAUAGGAACCAGAAAAAUAUGUUUACUUGAGUCAAAAAUACAGCCAGUGAAUUGGUCUUUUGCUCCAUUCAGCAAAUAUUCCUGUCAGAUACAUUUCAUGUGUUCUUAAAGACUCCUAGUGUUGUAGAUCCCUAAACUUUAAAGUAGAUUCUUCUACUGUUCCAUUAUAAAAUUUGAAAGUCCCCUUUGUUUCCAGUGGUAGUUUUAUUUUGUAACAUGAACAUUCAACUGUUCUUUAUAUAUUGGCAUAAUGGGAAUGACAAAUAGUCUAUAUAUGCCCUCUUCAUUUAAAUAUUUUUUAAUAAGAAAUUUGUGACAGUACUAAGUUGAAUUUGAAGUUGGACAGGAAGGAAAAUAAUAUUUAAAAUUAUUACAGUGGUCCUCUCAACAUCCCUAAAUAAAGGCAUUUUUUGUUCCAAAUAGCUUUUGGAUUUUUUGGGAGCUUUUUUGGAAUAGAGAAUUGUUUCUUGCUAUGGAUGAGACCACCAAGAAAAAAGUAAUUGCUUUAUGAGGGUUGUGGAAAUGUCCAGUGUAGGACCAGAAUGUCAGAAUGUAGCCCUACAACCCAUAUUUGGUCUCUCAGAAAGCAGUGCAGAUCUAUACAGAGAAAGGAAAGAAGAGAGAGGGUAGAUUUAUUUUCACAUCACACAAAUGGAUAGUCGCAUAAUGUAUUAUUUUCAAUUCCCUCCAACUUAUAUUGACUUCUCUGGAGGGAAGAAAUAGCCACAAAGCUUGUCUAAAACCUAAUCUACAAUGCACCCAGUAGUUUGGAUAAGGAACUCCCAGUACCCUAAUCUCUUUCACAUCUUUUAUCUUUUUAAUAUUUAAAUUUUUUUUCUCAAUUAUAUUUUUAAUCUUUAGUCAGGUAAGAUAGCUAAGAAACACCUACAUUGUAUUGACAUGUUCUACUACUUGAGGGAAAAUGAAUCUCAGUUUGUGGAACCAGUGGGUUUGGUCAGUAUACUUUUAAAAUGACAAAAGUGCAAUUUCAAGCAAUCUGCAAGAUCUUGCUAUACUCUUUUUUGUAGUAGUAGUUUUUGUAAUUUUGUAGUAGUCUUCAAAGAAACAGAAAAGAUUACAAGACCUGUUUCAACUUACCCCUCCAGAACUUCCCAGCUGGCAGAGAAUUUGUUGGGUUCAGGCACUGCCCAUUAGACAGCUGGAAACUGUUUUUGCAGCCAGUGCAGUCCUUGUAACUGUACCCAACGCAGGUUACACAGCUCCUGUGGCAAGGCUCACAUUCUCUAGAGAUGCCAUCAGCAAAGAAGCCAUCUCCACACUCACUCACACAGGUGCCAUCUGCAACAGAAACAGAGCCUGGAAGCACAGUGACCCCUGUCCAUCCCUCUGUCUCCAGCAGAAAUUAUGUAAGAAAAAAAUAGUACGUUAAAACAUGCAAAAAAAUUUGCAGCUGUAAAAAAAUCGAAUUUUUUAGCAUGAAAUCUAAAUUCAGUUCAGUUGCAUAUGCGAAAAUUCACAAACUUCAAACUGAUCUUCAUUUAAAUUUGCAUCUAACUUGGCUUUAAUCAAUAUAUUAAACAUUAGUAUAUACAAAUCUAGUGGAAAUCCAUGCCUGGGUAAAAGUUUUAUUGUUAGGUUGAGUCCUAACAGUUAUACUGUCUCAAUAAAAAAUUAAAGACUGGAUGCCCCGAAGAUUUUUAGACAUAUGCAAAUUUUAGACUUAUGCAAAUUUAUAGGAUCUCUAGUUUCUGCUGAAUAUGAAGUUAAACUCAGGUUUAAAUCUGAUUCAGAUUAAGGUUUUGCAUACCUCAUCAAAAUCUCUGUAAAUUCUAGCACUUAGGACUUUUCAAGUUUUGUCUAAUUUCAAUUUUAAAAAAAAUCACAGACGCACAGCUUACCCU
ensembl:lncRNA